UACGGAGGGGGCGAGCGUUGUUCGGAAUUACUGGGCGUAAAGCGUGCGCAGGCGGUUCGCAAAGUCUGAUGUGAAAGCCCCGGGCUCAACCUGGGAACUGCAUUGGAAACUAACGGGCUCGAGUGUGGCAGAGGGGGGUGGAAUUCCACGUGUAGCAGUGAAAUGCGUAGAGAUGUGGAGGAACACCGAUGGCGAAGGCAGCCCCCUGGGCUAACACUGACGCUCAGGCACGAAAGCGUGGGGAGCAAACAGG
rnacentral:rRNA from 1 species